CCUAAUUCUAAUUUCGCUAGGAAAUGGACUUCGUCAUCUUCGUUUUAUGGCGACUCGACAACGCCUAAGCUUCUUCUGAAUCUCUCUGAGACGGUGUGAAUUAUGCGAUUUCUAGGGUUGCCACUGUUCUUAAGCAAUUGUCGUUUAAAACCGACAAAGAAGCUCCGGCUGGGUUACGGGGAUGAGUAUUUCCUGCCAAUCUAUGGUGGUAGCCGCUGUCUAUGUCGAAUCGCCUGGACCGUUACAAAACUCUACUGCAUUCAGUCAUCGUCAUUAACGAUCUCAUUAAUACAGAUUCCCCACUCCUCUCAUGAUGUUUGCCCUUCUCGCUUCCAUUGUGCAAAUCUACAACUAUAAAUAUAGAUUAGGAUGGCAAACUCUUCACUCCUGCUCCCCAAUUUGAAAGUCAGGUGUUGUAACUCCACUGUUAAAUUUCACUGCUGAUUAAGAAGAUGUUAUGGGUGAAUGUCUCAGAGGUUCUGGUUAAGAAGAAUUCAAAACUUCCCAAACAGUAAGAAUUGACCUUUAUGAUUUGCUCACUCACUUAGCUUAGGGUUUUGGAAGAGUUAACAUUAUUCUUUGAUUUGAUUUCUGGGCUGUUAUUAGUUUUGUUCAUGUUCAUUCUUGGUUUUGGUCCAUUGUAAUUGAAGAAACACUUCAAUUAUGUUCUUCACACUUCAUAGUCAGGUCUCUGAACCUUGGCACUUGAAUCUUCUUAUAUCUGAGUGAAAAAUGACACUUUUAUUUUAUAUUUUUAAAGUACGAAAGAGUUGCUUAUAUAUAGGUUGUUAAGAAAGAUGAAGAUGUGAAAAUUCUUGAAAUGGUGGGGGAUGAGGAUUGUUUGCCUCCACCGGCAAAGGUUAUCUUCACUAAAAUUAUCUCAUUAAUAUCAAAAAGUCCGUUGAAGAUUUCAGCCAUUACAUCAUUGAGGUAGUUUUGUAUGUAUAUGCUUCCCAUGUUUUCUUUUAGAAAGGAGGUUGGAUGACAUCAUGUUGCAGUUCUAGAAUAUUGAUGUCAUCAGAAUUAUUAGCAGUGUUCUUGGCCAGAGCAUAGCUUUGAAUUACUAAUUUACUAUGGCCGGCAGGUAGCAAUCACAUAUCAGUUUGUUUCUGUUAGGUUGAUGGUAUGGUAGCAAUUAGCAAAGUUAACUGAACAAACCAUGGGAUGGAGAAAACAGGAACGCUUACAGCGGAUAUGAAGAAGUUGUUCCAGUUGGAGAUUUUUCACUAAAGCAACUUCAAACGAAGAGUUUCUAAUUUGUUUUUAGUGUGUUUUAUCAUUUUCUUUUCCUAGGUGAAUUUGUAAGAAAGAGUUUCAUAUAUGACUUGCUGCAACCGUAAAAAUUGUGUUUUUACUUUUAUGCGUCAAUCUUUUAAUAAUACAAUAAAAGGGUCAUGUGCUAAUC